GGAUCAUUACUGAAUUGCCAACACGGGUUGUUGCUGGCCCUCAAACGGGGGCAUGUGCACGCUCUGUUCGCACAUCCACACACACCUGUGCACCCUCUGUAGUUCUAUGGCAUGGAGGACACUGUCCUCCGGUUGUGGUUCUAUAUCUUUACACACACAUGCGAUGCAAUAAAGUCCCAUGGAAUGCACACCGCGUUUAACGCAAUACAAUACAACUUUCAGCAACGGAUCUCUUGGCUCUCGCAUCGAUGAAGAACGCAGCGAAAUGCGAUAAGUAAUGUGAAUUGCAGAAUUCAGUGAAUCAUCGAAUCUUUGAACGCACCUUGCGCCCUUUGGCUAUUCCGAAGGGCAUGCCUGUUUGAGUAUCAUGAACACCUCAACUCUCAUGGUCCGCCAUGAUGAGCUUGGACUUUGGGGGUCUUGCUGGCCUAUGGUCAGCUCCUCUCAAAUGAAUCAGCUUGCCAGUGUUUGGUGGCAUCACAGGUGUGAUAACUAUCUACGCUUGUGGCUUUCCAUCAGACGACCUUCAGCGAUGGAGGUGUCCACUGAAGCUCAUAAACGUCUCUCCUCAGUGAGGACAGCUCUUUGAAAGUUUGAUCUCAAAUCAGGUAGGACUACCCGCUGAACUUAA
rnacentral:rRNA from 1 species